CAUAGGUUAAUGAGGCGAACCGGGGGAACUGAAACAUCUAAGUACCCCGAGGAAAAGAAAUCAACCGAGAUUCCCCCAGUAGCGGCGAGCGAACGGGGAGCAGCCCAGAGCCUGAAUCAGUAUGUGUGUUAGUGGAAGCGUCUGGAAAGGCGCGCGAUACAGGGUGACAGCCCCGUACACAAAAAUGCACAUGCUGUGAGCUCGAUGAGUAGGGCGGGACACGUGGUAUCCUGUCUGAAUAUGGGGGGACCAUCCUCCAAGGCUAAAUACUCCUGACUGACCGAUAGUGAACCAGUACCGUGAGGGAAAGGCGAAAAGAACCCCGGCGAGGGGAGUGAAAAAGAACCUGAAACCGUGUACGUACAAGCAGUGGGAGCACGCUUAGGCGUGUGACUGCGUACCUUUUGUAUAAUGGGUCAGCGACUUAUAUUCUGUAGCAAGGUUAACCGAAUAGGGGAGCCGAAGGGAAACCGAGUCUUAACUGGGCGUUAAGUUGCAGGGUAUAGACCCGAAACCCGGUGAUCUAGCCAUGGGCAGGUUGAAGGUUGGGUAACACUAACUGGAGGACCGAACCGACUAAUGUUGAAAAAUUAGCGGAUGACUUGUGGCUGGGGGUGAAAGGCCAAUCAAACCGGGAGAUAGCUGGUUCUCCCCGAAAGCUAUUUAGGUAGCGCCUCGUGAAUUCAUCUCCGGGGGUAGAGCACUGUUUCGGCAAGGGGGUCAUCCCGACUUACCAACCCGAUGCAAACUGCGAAUACCGGAGAAUGUUAUCACGGGAGACACACGGCGGGUGCUAACGUCCGUCGUGAAGAGGGAAACAACCCAGACCGCCAGCUAAGGUCCCAAAGUCAUGGUUAAGUGGGAAACGAUGUGGGAAGGCCCAGACAGCCAGGAUGUUGGCUUAGAAGCAGCCAUCAUUUAAAGAAAGCGUAAUAGCUCACUGGUCGAGUCGGCCUGCGCGGAAGAUGUAACGGGGCUAAACCAUGCACCGAAGCUGCGGCAGCGACGCUGAUGCGUUGUUGGGUAGGGGAGCGUUCUGUAAGCCUGCGAAGGUGUGCUGUGAGGCAUGCUGGAGGUAUCAGAAGUGCGAAUGCUGACAUAAGUAACGAUAAAGCGGGUGAAAAGCCCGCUCGCCGGAAGACCAAGGGUUCCUGUCCAACGUUAAUCGGGGCAGGGUGAGUCGACCCCUAAGGCGAGGCCGAAAGGCGUAGUCGAUGGGAAACAGGUUAAUAUUCCUGUACUUGGUGUUACUGCGAAGGGGGGACGGAGAAGGCUAUGUUGG
rnacentral:rRNA from 1 species